rnacentral:rRNA from 1 species
UACGCAGGGGGCUAGCGUUAUCCGGAAUUACUGGGCGUAAAGGGCGCGCAGGCUGUAGAUCAAGUCAGCUGUGAAAUGUCUGGGCUUAACCCGGGCAUGCGGUUGAAACUGAUGUACUGGAGUGCUGUAGAGGCAAGUGGAAUUCCCAGUGUAGCGGUGAAAUGCGUAGAUAUUGGGAAGAACACCGGUGGCGAAGGCGACUUGCUGGGCAGCAACUGACGCUGAGGCGCGAAAGCCAGGGGAGCAAACGGGGAUUA